AUUUAAUUUGAAUCCAUGUAAAUGAGUGAUUAAUUUUGAGUUUUUGUGGUGGUAGACGUAUUGAAUUAUGAAUAAGUGAUAUUGUUAUAUUAAGAAAUUAUGACUGUUGUGGUAUGUAUAUGUGAAUAUAAUGGAGUAAUUAUAUGUGAAGAGUUAAGGGUUUGUUGAAAUGGUAUUAUGUAGUUGGGAAAUCCCAUUUAUUGAGCGUUCAUUUGAACUUGGCAAGAGGAAAUAAAGCCAAAGAAGAGCAAGGGAUCAGGAUUGGUGAGUUAUUGUUUGUUGAAAUUAAAAGAUUGUGUGUUUGCUUAGUGAUGGUUGUGUGUUGCAGUUGAUUUUUUCUGGCAAAUAUAUGUGUAUGUGUAGGCGCGGUCGAAAGCCGUGAAUGAGGAGGCGCCUAAAAAGAAAGUAGCUAGUAGAGGGAAGAAGAAACUGAAAUCUGAUCCAGUUUUUUAGGAAGAGUAUUUAAAUGACUCUGAUGAAGCUGGUUCUGAUGAUGGUGGUUAUGAUGAAUCUCGUGGUGAUGAAUCUGGUUAUGAUGAUGCUAAUUCCGCAGAUGGUGAUUAUGAGGUAGAUGAGGAUGUGGAGGACGACAGUGAAGGUAGUGAGGAAGAGCUUGAGCAGGACAAAGUGAGCUACCAGGAUCUCCUAAUCAAGUUAUUGCGGGAAAAGGUUGAGAAAGGGAAGCGCAAGCGAGGUCAUAUUGAGAAAAAGACAGGAAAAAGGGGCAAGCUAAAGGUCGAGAAGACGAAGGGAGAAGUGGCGAAGGAGAAAGGGGUUGUCGUUAAAACCCAAUCAAGAAGUACGCAGAAGGCCCCAAAUUUGCAUGGUGUGAAGGCUUUUGCAACUGCAGUGAAGAAGUUUGAUGACUCUAGGAAGAAGCUAGUCACAGAAAUGGGUUUUGGAGGGUUGUUAAGUAUACCCCUAACUUUU